rnacentral:rRNA from 1 species
AUUGAACGCUGGCGGAAUGCUUUACACAUGCAAGUCGAACGGUAGAGGGGGCAACCCCCUUGAGAGUGGCGAACGGGUGAGUAAUAUAUCGGAACGUGCCCAGUCGUGGGGAUAACGUAGCGAAAGUUACGCUAAUACCGCAUACGAUCUAAGGAUGAAAGCGGGGGAUCGCAAGACCUCGCGCGAUUGGAGCGGCCGAUAUCAGAUUAGGUAGUUGGUGGGGUAAAGGCUCACCAAGCCAACGAUCUGUAGCUGGUCUGAGAGGACGACCAGCCACACUGGAACUGAGACACGGUCCAGACUCCUACGGGAGGCAGCAGUGGGGGAAUUUUGGACAAUGGACGCAAGUCUGAUCCAGCCAUUCCGCGUGCAGGAUGAAGGCCCUCGGGUUGUAAACUGCUUUUGUACGGAACGAAAAGGUUUCUCUUAAUACGAGGAGCUCAUGACGGUACCGUAAGAAUAAGCACCGGCUAACUACGUGCCAGCAGCCGCGGU